AUUGAACGCUGGCGGCAGGCCUAACACAUGCAAGUUGAGCGGUAGCACAGAGAGCUUGCUCUCGGGUGACGAGCGGCGGACGGGUGAGUAAUGUCUGGGAAACUGCCUGAUGGAGGGGGAUAACUACUGGAAACGGUAGCUAAUACCGCAUAACGUCGCAAGACCAAAGUGGGGGACCUUCGGGCCUCAUGCCAUCAGAUGUGCCCAGAUGGGAUUAGCUAGUAGGUGGGGUAACGGCUCACCUAGGCGACGAUCCCUAGCUGGUCUGAGAGGAUGACCAGCCACACUGGAACUGAGACACGGUCCAGACUCCUACGGGAGGCAGCAGUGGGGAAUAUUGCACAAUGGGCGCAAGCCUGAUGCAGCCAUGCCGCGUGUAUGAAGAAGGCCUUCGGGUUGUAAAGUACUUUCAGCGGGGAGGAAGGCGACAAGGUUAAUAACCUUGUCGAUUGACGUUACCCGCAGAAGAAGCACCGGCUAACUCCGUGCCAGCCGCCGCCGUAA
rnacentral:rRNA from 1 species